UAGGGAAUCUUCCGCAAUGGACGCAAGUCUGACGGAGCAACGCCGCGUGAGUGAAGAAGGAUUUCGGUUCGUAAAACUCUGUUGUUAGAGAAGAACAGCGCAUAGAGUAACUGUUAUGCGUGUGACGGUAUCUAACAAGAAAGCCACGGCUAACUACGUGCCAGCAGCCGCGGUAAUACGUAGGUGGCAAGCGUUGUCCGGAUUUAUUGGGCGUAAAGCGAGCGCAGGCGGUCAAUUAAGUCUGAUGUGAAAGCCCCCGGCUCAACCGGGGAGGGUCAUUGGAAACUGGUUGACUUGAGUGCAGAAGAGGAGAGUGGAAUUCCAUGUGUAGCGGUGAAAUGCGUAGAUAUAUGGAGGAACACCAGUGGCGAAGGCGACUCUCUGGUCUGUAACUGACGCUGAGGCUCGAAAGCGUGGGUAGCAAACAGG
rnacentral:rRNA from 1 species